GCCUAGUUAGCUUAGUUGGUAGUGCGUCUGCCUUGUAAGCGCUAGGCCGCGGGUACGAUUCCCGCCCGGGGCG
rnacentral:tRNA from 1 species